GCGGCCGUAGUCUAGUCUGGUAGGAUGGCGGCCUCCCAAGCCGCAGAACCCGGGUUCAAAUCCCGGCGGCCGCA
rnacentral:tRNA from 5 species